AUUGAACGCUGGCGGCAUGCUUUACACAUGCAAGUCGAACGGUAACAGGCCGCAAGGUGCUGACGAGUGGCGAACGGGUGAGUAAUGCAUAGGAACGUGCCCAGUCGUGGGGGAUAACGCAGCGAAAGCUGUGCUAAUACUGCAUACGAUCUAUGGAUGAAAACGGGGGACCGUCAGGCCUCGCGCGAUUGGAGCGGCUGAUGUCAGAUUAGGUAGUUGGUGGGGUAAAUGCCUACCAAGCCGACGAUCUGUAGCUGGUCUGAGAGGACGACCAGCCACACUGGGAAUGAGACACGGCCCAGACUCCUACGUGAGGCAGCAGUGGGGAAUUUUGGACAAUGGGCGCAAGCCUGAUCCAGCAAUGCCGCGUGCAGGAAGAAGACCUUCGGGUUGUAAACUGCUUUUGUACGGAACGAAACGGUCUGGGUUAAUACCCUGGGCUAAUGACGGUACCGUAAGAAUAAGCACCGGCUAACUACGUGCCAGCCGCCGCCGUAACAC
rnacentral:rRNA from 1 species